GACGAACGCUGGCGGCGUGCUUAAUACAUGCAAGUCGAACGGAGUGGCGAACGGGUGAGUAACACGUGGGUGAUCUGCCUUGCACUUCGGGAUAAGCUUGGGAAACUGGGUCUACUACCGGAUAGUGCAAGAUGAGCUCGCGGCCUAUCGGCUUGUUGGUGGGGUAAUGGCCUACCAAGGCGUCGACGGGUAGCCGGCCUGAGCGGGUGUACGGCCACAUUGGGACUGAGAUACGGCCCAGCCUCCUACGGGAGGCAGCAGGGGGGAAUAUUGCAGCAGGGGCGGAAGCCUGAUGCAGCGACGCCGCGUGGGGGAUGAAGGCCUGCGGGUUGUAAACUCCUUUCGACAGGGACGCGGUACCUGUAUAAGAAGCACCGGCUAAAUACGGGCCAGCAGCCGCGGUAAUUC
rnacentral:rRNA from 1 species